ACAAAAACUUUGACAAGAAGAGUAGUCCAUUUGCACAGUGAAGCGAACCUUGGAGGGUGGAAGCAGGGUCAACCGCGAUGGAUGAAAAGGAACUUUGAGUUGAUAAGCUGAAUGUGAACCAUAAAGUUUAAUCCGGUUGCCCCGUUAUCGCAAAAGUAGCAAUACUUGAGUCCGUCUAUGCGCACAUAGACGGAAAAUAAGGGUGGCACCACGAACUUUCGUCCCUAUA
rnacentral:ncRNA from 1 species